AAAAAAAAAAACCGGAUACAAGGAUAAAAUAAGAAGAAACCAUCGAUGAUAGUCGAAGUUAGCGAAUCACGAUUGAAACAUAGUAGGAGGAACGAAACAUCGGAUGUUCCUCGAGAUGAGAACGCGAGGAGCACACCGAAGGACGAGAGGACAACCGAGGCGAAUACGCGAAAUUUAUGAGACUUUCAGAGAGUAAACUGCGAACUGCGGCGAUUUCCGACAAAUUCCUUCAUCGAACACCUGUGUCCCACAUUCGGAUUCCAUGUUGGACGCGUCGUGGCAAUGCGUUGUUAUCUGUAUCAGCCUGUUGCGUGUGUCAACGAAGAGCACGAUAGAAGAAAAGAUAGAAGGAGAAACGAUAAGAACAAUGCUUUGUUAAUUUUCUUUAUCGUUUAUCUAUUAGGCGUCGGGUAAUUUUUACGUAUUCAAUUAGCUUCAUUGUCGUAAUCCACGCGCAUAGUACUUCAAGUAAUAAAGGAACAUUGUAUUUAACGUUUACGUUCCUUUAAAUUGUUUGAAAGUAUUGUAAGUCCAAAGAAAACGUUCAUUUUCAUACUAGAUUACGUGACUCGCAGAAAAAUCUACUUAUAGCUUUAGCGCAUAAUCGAUCUACUACCUUUGAAUAAUAUAUUAUAAGUGAUUUUUUUAGGUCGUGAAUUAUUCAAAAAGUUACGAUAGCUGUAGCGUAACGAAUUGCAUAUCAGAUGUUCUUAAUGGAUUACUAUCACAAACAAUACAUUUGCUCAUCAUUACGCUACCUCUACAUGACUCAUCAACUGUUCGUUAGAAUACUUUGCACAGUGAAUUAAGACUCGAGAGAUCGAAAUCUGUUGCUCUGAGCCUCCUCCUUGUCCGUUGUGUUUCAUUUAAACUCUCUUCAAGAUCAAUUCAGCUGGUUAUUUCGAACGUAACAAACGCAUUUUUGACUGCGCGACAAAAAAAAAAAAAAAAAAAAGAAAAAGAGAAAA